UCGAGCGGGGUUUUCGGACCUAGCGGCGGACGGGUGAGUAAUGCGUAUGUUAGCUACCCGAUAGAGGGGGAUACCAGUUGGAAACGACUGUUAAUACCGCAUAAUGUCUACGGACCAAAGUGUGGGACCUUCGGGCCACAUGCUAUCGGAUGCGCCUACGUGGGAUUAGCUAGUUGGUGGGGUAAUGGCUCACCAAGGCGACGAUCCCUAGCUGGUUUGAGAGGAUGAUCAGCCACACUGGAACUGAGACACGGUCCAGACUCCUACGGGAGGCAGCAGUGGGGAAUAUUGGACAAUGGGCGCAAGCCUGAUCCAGCCAUGCCGCGUGUGUGAAGAAGGCCUUCGGGUUGUAAAGCACUUUCAGCGAGGAGGAAGGGAGUUGUGUUAAUAGUACAGCUUCUUGACGUUACUCGCAGAAGAAGCACCGGCUAACUCUGUGCCAGCAGCCGCGGUAAUACAGAGGGUGCAAGCGUUAAUCGGAAUUACUGGGCGUAAAGCGCACGUAGGCGGUUUUUUAAGUCAGAUGUGAAAGCCCCGGGCUCAACCUGGGAAUUGCAUUUGAAACUGGAAAACUAGAGUGUGUGAGAG
rnacentral:rRNA from 1 species